AUUGCCUUAAAGCAUACAUCGAGUGAUUUUCAACCCACUUUGUAUUGUUACUAUGAUGGUAAUAUAUGUGAACAAACAAUAUUUAAUAUUUUUCUGAGUUCCAUGAGAUAUACCCAUUUAUUUGUCAGACAAAUAAUAUUUAGCAUUAUCCGAGUAUUGUUUAUUUACAUAUUACAGACUUUGUGACAGUAUAAAGUGGAUUUAAAUUCACCAAACUUACCCUUUAAUGGUUGUCUGUUUAACUGAACAUGACUUUGAACACAUAACUUGUAUUAUCUUAGAGUUAUUGACAUAUUAAUUUGUUGCCAGAAGAUGCUCCCCAUUGAGUCACAGUCACCUCAUGCUGUUGAUAGGAUUUUUUUUUUUUUUGAAACCUUGACAUUUUCUAAAGCUGCUUUGAUUGUGAAAAGCAGUGUACCCUUACAACAGUUAACCAUGUUUUUACUAUGGUAAAACUAGUAAUCAUAACUGUAGUAAUCAGGGUUUUUUAGUUUUUCUCAAACUAAGGUUUUGAUAUCAUGGUUCUACAAUAGUAAUAUUUUAGUAAUGCUGGAGUAAAACUGUGGUAACCAUAGUUUUUGAAACCAGAUAGCAAGCACACUCGGGCCGAUUCAUGGCUGAAAUGCGGCACUGUCGGCUCAGUCACGACCUCGGUGAGAAGAUAAUGGGCCAGAGCCGCGCCGACUCUACAAAACACUUCUGGCUGACAGACUGCUUUUUCUCUCUGGGCCGAUCUCGGCUGAAAGCUGUUGUACGUGCGGCAGGUCCGCACUCGGCGUAGUUGUGUGUAUCUACCUCAGGCCCGAGCUGGUUUUGUCUCCGGCGGGCCGCUGCUAGAAUGAAAGCCGCCUGAGAGAGAGAUUUGGCGGUUAAUCCUGAGGAGAUUUCGGCGGGCACAGUUCUCAAGAGGAAUUAUCUUCAGCUGCAAACUGAAAUUCUGAGCUGCUGCAUGAACAUUCAUCAGACUUAUAAGGCUGCAAUUUGGAAAAAACUUUCAAGCUAAUGCUGCUGAAAUGGAGUUCAAGGGGACUGAAGAGGUGGGUCCAGCUGAUCAAAAGGGUGGACUUCAGGAGGCAGACACACUCUGUGAGUUUAAAAGACCCAUCUCUUUAACCUUCCAUACACAUGACACACAAUCACAUUUCUAUAAUUCAAAUCUCUUAAAGGAUCUUUAUGCUGCACCAAUUAGGGUAAGCAGCAACACUUCCUAUAAUAUCUAAUGUACUUGUUAAUUUGUAAGAAGAAUGACAUCAUUCUUCUUACAACUUUGACUUUGAAUGUGCUUCGAUUGCUUCAGUCUGUUGUGCUGCUGAGAGGUUUGUGUUUGUAGCUCCGUGUACCUUCGCUUUUUAUUGAAUCUCUACCUUACUUUCAAUCCCUUUUGUCUAAAGUGAUAAUAUAUAACUUAAUUCCCACCAUAUUUCUGGUGUUAUCUUUCAAACUAAUCUAACUAAUUUGAUCGUUCGCCUUUAAAAACCGCGAGUGCAGCUUGUUAGCCCGUUAGCUUGUCACUCGCGGUUCCAUUUGCAUUUCUAUUCGCGCCUAUUAUUAUUUUAUUUUUUCCUCGCUCCGUUUUUCACGAGCUCAUCAAACAACAGUGGUAAGUGGUAAGUUAAGUUGGUAUCAUUCAUCAAUCACGGUGAGUAAUGGCUUCUUCUCCUGCUAUUGUUGUUUGCACUGUCUGCCACAUGUAUAGUUUAUCCGUCUCUGUCAGCAGCGAGGGAUUCACAUGUGAUAAAUGCAGGGAAAUAGUUAGGCUGACAGAGAAGGUUUUAGAACUAGAGACACGCAUCCAAACUUUAGUUGAGGACAGUAAGAAUGUGAGGGCUGUAGAUACUGCUUUGGAUGCGACUAGUUCAGGGAGUCCUGUACAUUGUUCGGUUUCGGUUGAGCCCGUGCAGCAGGGCAACUGGGUGACAGUGAGGCGGCAUAGUCGCGGGUCAAAACACCACUCUUCCGUUCCGAUCAGAACAUCAAACAGGUUCUUCCCACUCAGUGAAGCACCCACUGAGAAACCUGAUGAAAGUGCUCUAGUUAUUGGCGAUUCUAUUGUUAUGCGGAACGUGAAAAUAGAGACACCAGCCACCAUAGUCCAUUGUUUACCAGGAGCCAGAGCGCCUGACAUCUUGGCAAAUUUAAAAGUGCUGACUAAUGCUAAACGUAAAUUCAGUAAGAUUAUCCACGUCGGCGCAAAUGAUGUUCGACUUCGCCAGUCGGAGAUCACCAAAAAUAAUGUUAAAGAGGUGUGUGAACUUGCAAGUACGAUGUCAGACACUGUAAUAUGCUCUGGUCCGCUCCAUGCUUACCGGGGUGAUGACAUUCAUAGCAGACUGUCGUCACUUAAUGGCUGGAUGUCUAAGUGGUGCCCGCAAAAUAACAUAGGCUUUAUAGACAAUUGGAAGAAUUUUUGGGGCAGACCUGACCUGUUGAAAAGAGAUGGUGUUCAUCCCUCCUGGGGUGGUGCCGCUCUUCUCUCUAGAAAUAUGGCACAUAGUCUUAGAGUUUGUACUUGACUAACUGGAGCCCAGGUCAGGAAGCAGACAGACUGGCUAAACCGAUCGUCUGCUAGCCACCUCACGUCACCAAAGUCAGUUAACUCUCAGCACAUAGAAACUUUUUCAUCUAGAUAUCACACUAUAGAGACUGUGUCUGUUCCCCGAACUAGAAAAUACAGAAAACAUCCAAACCAAAGUAAUAGUAACAAUUUAAUUGAUGUUCAACAAAUAAAAAACCGAUAUAAUACAGAUAAACACAUGAUAAAGCUUGGCUUAUUGAAUAUUAGAUCCCUUUCUUCAAAAGCACUUUUUGUAAAUGAUAUGUUCACUGACCAUAAACUAGAUGUGCUUUGUCUGACAGAAACCUGGCUAAAACAAGAUGAUUACAUUACUUUAAACGAGUCUACACCCCAAGAUUACUGUUACAAACGUGAACCGCGUCCAAAAGGUAAAGGGGGAGGUGUUGCUACAAUUUAUAGAAAUAUUUUCAGUAUCUCUCAGAGGUCGGGUUUCAAGUAUAAUUCGUUCGAAGUAAUGGUGCUUCAUAUAACGUUAUCCAAAGAAACAAGUGUUAAUGAUUAAAUCCCCUGUGAUGUUUGUACUGGCUACUGUAUACAGGCCACCAGGGCACCAUACAGACUUUAUUAAAGAAUUUUCUGAUCUUCUAUCGGAGUUAGUACUGACUGCAGAUAAAGUCUAAACUAAAGUCAACUAAUCAUUGGUGAUUUUAAUAUCCAUGUUGAUAAUGAAAGAGAUUCGUUGGGAUCAGCAUUUAUAGACAUUCUAAACUCAAUUGGUGUUAAACAACACGUGUCAGGACCUACUCAUUGUCGAAAUCAUACUCUAGAUUUAAUACUGUCACAUGGAAUUGAUGUCAGUGGCGUUGAAAUUUUACAGCAGAGCGAUGAUAUCUCAGCUCAUUAUCUAGUCUCCUGUAUAUUCCAUAUAGCUAAAGCUGUAAAGCCAACUUCUUGUUACAAAUAUGGUAGAACCAUCACUUCUACCACAAAAGACUGCUUUAUAAAUAAUCUUCCUGACUUAUCUCAGUUCCUCAGCAUAUCCAAUAGCUCAGAACAACUUGAUGAUGUAACAGGAACUAUGGACUCUCUCUUUUCUAGCACUUUAGAUGCGGUUGCUCCUUUACGCUUAAGGAAGAUUAAGGAUAAGAGUCCAACACCGUGGUAUAAUGAGCACACCCGCGCCCUAAAGAGAGCAGUCCGGAAAAUGGAGCGCAGCUGGAGGAAAACUAAAUUAGAGGUAUUUUGUUUAGCUUGGCGGGAAAGUACCCUAUCCUACAGAAAAGCAUUAAAAACUGCUAGAUCUGAUUACUUUUUGUCUCUUCUAGAAGAAAACAAACAUAACCCUCAGUAUUUAUUCAAUACAGUAACUAAAUUAACGAAAAAUCAAGCAUCAACAGGUGUUGGCAUGUCCCAAGAGCAUAGCAGUAAUGACUUUAUGAACUACUACACUUCCAAGAUCGAUACUAUCAGAGAUAAAAUUGUAUCCUUGCAGCCGUCAGCUACAGUAUCGCAUCAGAUAGCGCACUAUAGAUCCCCUGAGGAACAAUUCCACUCAUUCUCUACUGUGGGAGAGGAAGAAUUGUAUAAACUUUUUAAAUCAUCUAAACCAACAACAUGUAUGUUAGACCCGAUUCCAUCUAAACUACUAAAAGAGCUGCUUCCAGAAGUCAUAGAUCCUCUUUUGGCUAUUAUUAAUUCAUCAUUGUCAUUAUGAUAUGUCCCCAAAACCUUCAAAUUGGCUGUUAUUAAGCCUCUCAUUAAAAAAACACAACUUGACCCCAAAGAUCUAGUUAAUUACAGACCGAUCUCAA